rnacentral:tRNA from 1 species
GCCUGGCUGGCUCAGUUGGUAGAGCAUGCAACUCUUGAUCUCGUAAUCAUGAGUUCCAGCCCCAUGUUGGGUG